AUUACAACUAACAAUCUACUUUGUGUUUAUACCAACUUAAUUUCAAUAGUAUUAAGUUGUUCCUCUAUAACUUUAUCUCCCUUACACUUUGUGCUGUUACUGUCAUAUAGACAGUAUACAAUAUUGCAUGCCCUUCAACAGAUUUAUAAUUUAGAAGCAAACAUGUUUCCAGUAUUAUUACCAUUUCUUUCAGUUCUCAAAAUGGUCUAUCCAGAUUUUUUUUUCCCCUUCCCUUUUCCUAUAUGGUUCCCUGAAGAAGAGGAGGUAAUUGAGUCUGCUGCACCAACCUGGUUCUUUCCCUCAUAUUUAGGGACCUCAAUCCUUAUACUGUAAACUUAAAAGUGAAGGCUAGGAACAGUGUCACACGCUGAAAUCCCAGCUACUCUAGAGACUGAGGCAAGUUUGAGGCCAUCCUGGGUAACUUAGCAAGACCCUGUCUCAAAAAAUAAAAAGAAUUGGUGAUAUGUAUUUCUGUUUAAAAGUACUUGCCCAGCAUGUGUGAAGCCUUGGGUUCAGUCAUCAGUACCGCAGAAAAAGAAAAUGAUUUUUACUGUUAAAAGGAGGAUAAUUUUCUUAAGUGCAACAAUAAAUGUUUAUGCUGCUAACUGGGGGUGGGGAGGAGUUAAUACCCAAAUAGACAAGUAAAUUUGUGAAUUAGUAUCAAGUGAGAAUCUGAAGCAUUCAAAGAUUUUUUUUUCCAUUAAAGAACAAAACAUCUUGGAUAUUAAAAUUUUUUUGAUUUGCCCUUUAUUUAAAAAAUUUAUCAUGAAGUACAUACAUAUAAAUAUGUCUAUAAAAAUGCAGUUCAAAUUUGAAUAUAAUUCUUAAUAUUAAGAAAUAGAAAUUACUGUUUCAGAACCCUCUCUGUGACCACAAUUUUAUUUCCUUCCAUUCUUUCCUACCCAACACAUCUACUAUUGAUGAGUUUUGUCUUAAAUUUUUUUUUUUACUUUUCUGAAAGUAAUUUUACCUUAUGUGUCUUAUAUUCUUAAACAUUGCAUUGUAUGGGCUGGGAUUGUGGCUCAGCAGUAGAGCGCCU
rnacentral:lncRNA from 1 species